UCCCCUCUCUCUGUCUCUGUCUUUGUCUAAGAAAAGAAUUUUAAAAAAUUGUUUUUUUUUUUGUUUUUUUUUGGUUUUUUGUUUGUGU
rnacentral:sRNA from 1 species